GACAUAUCUUCCAAAAAUUUUGUCUUCGAUUUGUCUAAAUACGGAUGUAUCUAGUUACGUUUUAGUGUUAGAUACAUCCGUAUCUAGACAAAUCUAAGACAAGAAUUUUGGGACGGGGGAGUAGUAU
rnacentral:pre_miRNA from 1 species